rnacentral:rRNA from 1 species
UGGGGAAUCUUGCACAAUGGGGGAAACCCUGAUGCAGCGACGCCGCGUGAGCGAUGAAGCCCUUCGGGGUGUAAAGCUCUUUCGGCAGGGAAGAUAAUGACGGUACCUGCAGAAGCAGCUGCGGCUAACUACGUGCCAGCAGCCGCGGUAAUACGUAGGCAGCGAGCGUUGUUCGGAGUUACUGGGCGUAAAGGGUGUGUAGGCGGUUGUUUAAGUUUGGUGUGAAAUCUCCCGGCUCAACUGGGAGGGUGCGCCGAAUACUGAAUGACUAGAGUGCGGGAGAGGAGAGUGGAAUUCCUGGUGUAGCGGUGAAAUGCGUAGAUAUCAGGAGGAACACCGGCGGUGUAGACGGCUCUCUGGACCGUAACUGACGCUGAGACACGAAAGCGUGGGUAGCAAACA